GACGAACGCUGGCGGCGUGCUUAACACAUGCAAGUCGAACGGUGAAGCGCCUUCCUUUUUGGUGGGUGUGGAUGAGUGGCGAACGGGUGAGUAACACGUGAGUAACCUGCCCCCUUCUUCUGGAUAACCGCAUGAAAGUGUGGCUAAUACGGGAUAUUCUGGGUCUGUCGCAUGAUGGGUCUGGGAAAGAUAUUGUUUCGGUGGGGGAUGGGCUCGCGGCCUAUCAGCUUGUUGGUGGGGUGAUGGCCUACCAAGGCGGUGACGGGUAGCCGGCCUGAGAGGGUGGACGGUCACACUGGGACGGAGACACGGCCCAGACUCCGACGGGAGGCAGCAGUGGGGAAUAUUGCACAAUGGGCGCAAGCCCGAUGCAGCGACGCCGCGUGAGGGAUGGAGGCCUUCGGGUUGUGAACCUCUUUCGCCAGUGAAGCAGGCCUGCCUCGUUUGUGGGUGGGUUGACGGUAGCUGGAUAAGAAGCGCCGGCUAACUACGUG
rnacentral:rRNA from 1 species